GACGAACGCUGGCGGCGUGCUUAACACAUGCAAGUCGAACGGAAAGGCCUGCUUUCCCUUGUGGAUUGCGGGUACUCGAGUGGCGAACGGGUGAGUAACACGUGAGUGAUCUGCCCCCAACUUGGGUAUAAGCCUGGGAAACUGGGUCUAAUUCCCGAUAGGACUGCAGGGUGGUGCCUGUGGUGGAAAACGAUUUUCUAGUGGUUGGGGAUGAGCUCGCGGCCUAUCAGCUUGUUGGUGGGGUAAUGGCCUACCAAGGCGGCGACGGGUAGCCGGCCUGAGAGGGUGGACGGCCACAUUGGGACUGAGAUACGGCCCAGACGCCUACGGGAGGCAGCAGUGGGGAAUAUUACACAAUGGGCGGAAGCCUGAUGCAGCGACGCCGCGUGGGGGAUGACGGCCUUCGGGUUGUAAACUCCUUUCGACCGCGAGGAAGCCACCUGGUUGGAAGGGUGGUGACGGUAGUGGUAGAAGAAGCACCGGCUAACUACGUG
rnacentral:rRNA from 1 species